rnacentral:tRNA from 1 species
AGGUAUGUAGCUCAGUGGUAGAGCAUUUGCCUAGCAUGCACGAGGCCCUGGAUUUAAUCCCCAGCGUUGCAG